GCCUCCUGAGUAGCUGGGACUACAGGCGUCCGCCACCAAACCCGGCUAAUUUCUUUUGUAUUUUUAGUAGAGACGGGGUUUCACCAUGUUACCUAGGAUGGUCUCGAUCUCCUGACCUCAUGAUCCGCCCGCCUUGGCCUCCCAAAGUGCUGGGAUUACAGGCGUGAGCCACCGUGCCCGGCCAAUAAGGGAGAAUUUCUGGAGCAUCUGUAAAUUCUCUACUUUAAGCUGCUUCAAAUAGAAAGCAGCCCUGCUUUUUGUGUUUCUACAAAAGACUGGGCAGAAACCUGCCUGUCCUUCAGGGUCCCAAAUGAGCAGUGUAUGAAGUUCCAGUUUCUUCACAUCUUUGACAACAAUUUCCUAUUAUAUGGCUGGACAGUGAGUCUUGCAAUGUCACCCAGGCCGGAGUGCAAUGGCGUGAUCUCGUCUCACUGCAACCUCCACCUCCCGGGAUCAAGCGAUUCUCCUGCCUCAGCCUCCCAAGCAGCUGGGAUUACAGGCGCCCGCCACCAUGCCCGGCUAAUUUUUUGUAUUUUAGUAGAGACGGGGUUUCACUAUGUUGCCCAGGCUGGUCUCAAACACCUGCCCUCGUGAUCCGCCCGCGUCGGCCUCCCAAAGUGCUGGGAUUACAGGUGUGAGUCACUGUGCCCGGCCUCUUUUUCUUUUUGUUUGAGACUGAGUCUCACUCUGUCAUCCAGGCUGGAGUGCAGUGGGACCAUCACAGAUCACUGCAGCCUCAAGCUCCCCGGCUCAAGCGAGCCUUCCACCUCAGUCUCCAGAGUAGCUGAGACUAUAGGCAUGUGCCAUCAUGUCCAGCCAGUUUUUAAAUUUUUUGUAUAGACAGGGUCUUUCUAUGUUGCCAGGGCUGGUCUGGAACUCCUGGGCUCAAGUGAUCUUCCCGCCUCAGCCUCCCAAAGUGCUGUGAUUAGAGGCAUGAGUCACUGUGCCCAGUUUUAAUUUUCUUUUAUGGAUUUUGGUGCUAUACCUAGGAAAUCUUUACCUGACCUAGUAUCACAGACUUUAUUCUAUUUAUAAGAAAUGUUAUAGCUUUAGGUUUUAUGUUUCGGCUAUGAUCCAUUUUGAGUUAAUUUCUGCAUAUGAUAUGAGGUAUGGAUGGGAGUUCAUUGUUUUCCAUCUGGAUAUGCAAUUGUUCCAGCACCAUUUAUUGAAAAGACUAUCCUUGACCCACUGAAUUUUCUUCAUACAUUUGUUAAAAAUCAGUGUCCAUAAUAUGUGGGUGUUUUUCUCAGACUCUCUUGUCAUAGUCAGUUUGGGCUGCUAUGACAGAGCACCAUAAACUGGGUGGUUCAUAAACCACAAAAAUAUUUUUCUCAUAGUUCUGGAAGCUGGAAGUCCAAGAGAAGGUGCCAGCAUGGUAGGGUUCUCCUGAGGGCCCUCUCCAAGUUGUAGAUGGCUUACUUCUUGCUGUAUCUUCACAUAGCAGAGAACAGAGAGGGAAAGCAAGCUCUCUCAUGACUUUAUAAGUACACUAAUUCCAUUAAUGAGGUCUCCAUCCAUACGACCUCAUCUAAACCUAAUCACCUCUCAAAGGUCCCACCUCCUGAUACCAUCAUAUUGGGCAGUAGGGUUUCAACAUAUACAUUUUGAAUAGGACACAAACAUUCAGUCCAUACCACUCAAUUCUAUUGUUUUGUUCUAUUUUUCUAUCUUCACACCAAUAAUACACAGUCUUGAAUACUGUAUAAGUCUUUAUAAGUCUUUAAAUCAGGUAGUAUUUGCCUUCCAAAUUUGUUCUUUUUUUUUCCAAAAUUGUUUUGGUUAUUGCAGUACUUUACAUUUCCACAUAAAUUUUAUAAUCAAUUUGCAAAUUCCAAAAAAAGUCUGCUGGGAUUUUGAUUUGAAUUGCUUUGAAUAUGUAGAACAAAUUGGAAAUAAUUGACAUCAUAACAAUAUUUAGUUUUCUGGAUCAGAACAAAGUAUGACUCUCCAUUUAUUAAGUUAUUCUUUCACUUCUUUCAACAAUGUUUUAUAGUGUUCAGUGUGUAGGCUUUUCACAUCUUAUGUCAGAUUUAUCUCUAUGUAUUUAAUGUUUUUUAAUUAAAAAAUUUUUAUGAAUCAAGAAAGAGCUGGAGUAUUAUAUUUGUGACACUAUUGUAAAUGAUAUUUCAAAAUUUCAAUUUAUAAUUCUUUGUUACAGAUGUAUAACAAUACAAUAGAUUUUUGAAUGUUAAUCUUGUAUCUUGAGACCUUGCUAAAGUCAUUUAUUAGUUCUAAUAGUUUUUUGUUUUUUUUUUUUUGUUUUGGAGACAGGGUCUUGCUCUGUCCUGCAGGCUGGAGUACAGUGAUGCAAUCAUAGCUCAAUGUAACCUUGAACUCCUGGGCUCAAGCAAUCCUCCCACCUCAGUUUCCCAAGUAGCUGAAACUACAGGCAUGAAUCACUGUGCCUGGCUAAUUUUUUUUGUUUGUUUUUUAUUUUUGUAGAGACAGGGCCUCAUUAAAUUGCUCAAGCUGGUCUAGAACUCUUGGGCUCAAGCAAUCCUCCCACCUCAGCCUCCCAUAGUGUUGGGAUUAUAGGGUUGAGCCACCAUGCUCAGCCUAUAUCUAUUUUUUGUUUAUUAGUUCUAGUAGAUUUUGGGAGAUCCUGUCGACUUUCUACAUAGAUAAUUAUUUUAUUUGUAAAUAAAGACAUUUUUACUUCUUCUUUUCUAAUUUGUAUCUUCUUUUUAAAUUAUAUUGCCUAGAACCUCUAGUAUGAUGUUAAGCAGAGAUGAUGAGAAUGAUUAUCAAUAGUAGGUAGAAAGUACUUAGUCUUUUACCAUUAAGUAUGAUGUUAGCUGUAGGUUUUUCAUAAAGGCCAUUGUCAAGUUAAGGAAGUUCCCUUCUAAUCUUUCUCUGUAGAGAAGAUUUAUCAUCAAUGGAUGCUGGAUUUUGUUGAAUGAUUUUCCUGCAUCUAUUGAGAUGAUCAUAUGCUUUUUCUUUUUCAGCUUGUUAAUGUGAUAAAUUACAUUGAUUUUCAAAUGUUAAACCAAUUUUGCAUUCCUGGGUUAAACUGUAUUUGGCUAUGAUGUACUGUCCUUUUUAUAUAUUAUUGCAUUUAAUUUGCUAAAAAUAUUUUUAGAAUUUUUGCAACCAUAUUUAUGAGGGAUAUUUGUCUAUAGUUUUCUUAUAAUGUCUUUGUCUGGUUUUUGGUAUCAGGAUAAUACUGGCCUUAUAGAAUUAUUUGGGGGAAAAUUCUCUACUUUUCAAUUUUCUGGUAA
rnacentral:lncRNA from 10 species